UGGGGUCGUGCGAACAGAUAAGGAGCUUGCUCCUUUGACGUUAGCGGCGGACGGGUGAGUAACACGUGGGUAACCUACCUAUAAGACUGGGAUAACUUCGGGAAACCGGAGCUAAUACCGGAUAACAUUUGGAACCGCAUGGUUCUAAAGUGAAAGAUGGUUUUGCUAUCACUUAUAGAUGGACCCGCGCCGUAUUAGCUAGUUGGUAAGGUAACGGCUUACCAAGGCAACGAUACGUAGCCGACCUGAGAGGGUGAUCGGCCACACUGGAACUGAGACACGGUCCAGACUCAUACGGGAGGCAGCAGUAGGGAAUCUUCCGCAAUGGGCGAAAGCCUGACGGAGCAACGCCGCGUGAGUGAUGAAGGGUUUCGGCUCGUAAAACUCUGUUAUUAGGGAAGAACAAACGUGUAAGUAACUGUGCACGUCUUGACGGUACCUAAUCAGAAAGCCACGGCUAACUACGUGCCAGCAGCCGCGGUAAUACGUAGGUGGCAAGCGUUAUCCGGAAUUAUUGGGCGUAAAGCGCGCGUAGGCGGUUUCUUAAGUCUGAUGUGAAAGCCCACGGCUCAACCGUGGAGGGUCAUUGGAAACUGGGAAACUUGAGUGCAGAAGAGGAAAGUGGAAUUCCAUGUGUAGCGGUGAAAUGCGCAGAGAUAUGGAGGAACACCAGUGGCGAAGGCGACUUUCUGGUCUGUAACUGACGCUGAUGUGCGAAAGCGUGGGGAUCAAACAGGAUUAGAUACCCUGGUAGUCCACGCCGUAAACGAUGAGUGCUAAGUGUUAGGGGGUUUCCGCCCCUUAGUGCUGCAGCUAACGCAUUAAGCACUCCGCCUGGGGAGUACGACCGCAAGGUUGAAACUCAAAGGAAUUGACGGGGACCCGCACAAGCGGUGGAGCAUGUGGUUUAAUUCGAAGCAACGCGAAGAACCUUACCAAAUCUUGACAUCCUUUGAAAACUCUAGAGAUAGAGCCUUCCCCUUCGGGGGACAAAGUGACAGGUGGUGCAUGGUUGUCGUCAGCUCGUGUCGUGAGAUGUUGGGUUAAGUCCCGCAACGAGCGCAACCCUUAAGCUUAGUUGCCAUCAUUAAGUUGGGCACUCUAGGUUGACUGCCGGUGACAAACCGGAGGAAGGUGGGGAUGACGUCAAAUCAUCAUGCCCCUUAUGAUUUGGGCUACACACGUGCUACAAUGGACAAUACAAAGGGCAGCUAAACCGCGAGGUCAUGCAAAUCCCAUAAAGUUGUUCUCAGUUCGGAUUGUAGUCUGCAACUCGACUACAUGAAGCUGGAAUCGCUAGUAAUCGUAGAUCAGCAUGCUACGGUGAAUACGUUCCCGGGUCUUGUACACACCGCCCGUCACACCACGAGAGUUUGUAACACCCGAAGCCGGUGGAGUAACCAUUUAUGGAGC
rnacentral:rRNA from 1 species